GGUGAAUUACAUUAAUGGAUUUCAAAUGUUGAGUGAGCCGUGCAUUCCUGGAAUACACCCUACUUGGUCAUGUCAAGUCGUCUGCAGAAAAAGACACAUACAGUUAACUUUAGAGAAUGAUGAUGACUCUGUGAAGGCAGAAAUGAAACUCUUGAUUUUAUGAUGGGGCCGAGAAGAGGAGGAACUUUUAUCUAACCCGUAAGAAAAGUUUUUAUGCAUAAGCAAACAGAACAUCAUAAGAGUAAUAAUAAAAAUGCAAAAUUGCUUAAGGGACCUCAUGAGAUCAUUCGGAAGUGAUGAAAUGUAAUUCAGUUCCAUGCAGUGAUCAUUUACUGAUAAUCUCUUAAGUGUAAGGCCCUACUUACUAGACCAUGGGGGACAUAUAAGAACAAGAGAUAGAAUCAAUCCAUCAAAUAGGCCCAUCCUUUCCUUGGGGAACUUCGAGCAAUUAUCAAGUAAGUGUUUCCCAUCUGAAACGGUCAGGUGCUUGCUCCAUCGUUGCUGAUUCUCUGGUCCACAGAUCCAGGGGACUGCUAUGGUCUGAAUAUUUGUGUCUCCCCAAAUUCAUAAAUUGAAACCCCACCCCCAAAGUGAUGGUUUUAGGAAGUGGGGACUUCAAAGGUGAUUAGGUCAUGAGCAUGGAGCUUCCAUUAGUGAGAUUAGUGCCCUCAGUAAAGAGACCCUGGAGAGCUCCCUCACCGCUUCCACCAUGUGAGGACACAGUGAGUAGACGAGUAGAUGCCAUCUGUGAACCAGGAAGCAGGUCCUCACCAGACACCGAAUCUGCCAGGACGUUGAUCUUGAACUUCCAGCCUCCAGAACAGUGAGAAAUAAAUUUCUGUAGUUAAUAAGCCUCCCAGCUUAUGGUAUUCUAUAAUAGCAGCCAGAGUACACUCAGAUGGGGCCUGUCCUUUACCUACAACUAUCCCGUUGGGUUGUGAAUUAGAGGCCCCUGCACCGUGAUGUUCUUGUGGAGUGUGGACCCUUCCCCAUGGCACUCUCAUGCCAUUCCCCUUCCUGUAUUGUAUCAGUGCACAACGCAGGCAACUGUGACAGUAGGGGCUGUGUGGUGGUGCAUCUUUGAUCUCACGUCACAGUUCUUCCUCUGGACCUGCCAUGCCCUUUGGUCGUAGUGGGUGCUUUUCACCUGCCAUGCACAUGGUUAAUGUUUGUGAACACUAAGUUCUGAUGUUGUGGAUGAGAAAGGUUGGGAUUGUCAAUAAAGAGGAGAGCAAAUUGUGCAGCUACAAAUAAAAUCAUGCAACACCUCAAGAAUCCGUGUUAGAAACCAUCAUAUAUAUUUGUGCAUAUAUGUAUUUAUACAUAUGUACAUUUUUUCCAGGAAGCUUGUGAGUCCAGAUACACAUCAAAUCCAUAUCCAUGGUUUACAAGUGGCAGAAGGCCAAGGUACUGGCAG
rnacentral:lncRNA from 1 species